GUACCAUGAGGCCAAUGAAAUCAAUGUUCUGUCCUUUCCUUCAUGGUACUGACUGAAGAUCUUUAUCUGAUGUGUUGGAUCACAGGCACAGGCAGGGACAAGAGACAACUUCUACACAUGUCCCAGCCUCUGCUUCACUGGGAACAAGAAGUUGCUCUGAAGGUAGACCCCUGAGCAACACAGGUAUAUGAGGAUUUUCCUCCGCCUCGGCCACCCCUGAGACAGCAAGAUCAAUCCUUCCUCUUCCUCCUCUUCCUCCACCUCCUCAAUGUGAAGAUGAUGAGAAUGAAGACCUUGAUGAUGAUCCACUUCCACUUAAUGAAUAGUGAAUCCAUUUCCUCCUCCUUAUGAUUUUCCUAAAAGCAUUUUCUUUUCUCUAGCUUGCUUUAUUAGAAGAAUACCAUAUAUAAUACAUAUAAACAUACACGAUAUGUAUUAAUUUACUGUUUAUAAUAUUGGUGAGGUUUCUGGCCAAGAUUUCUUCCCAGUUCUGACAUUAAAAAAUGCUUCCUGAACACAUGUUGUUCAAG
rnacentral:lncRNA from 10 species